CAUUCCUGCCUCCUGGGAGCGUGAGAUGACCUCUCAUUUCUGGGCAGGCUCUCAGAUGCCCGAAAUAAAGCCAGAGCAAAAUGGCUCCUCUCAGAAGGUUGCCGCCCCCACCCCCUACCUUUCCCAAACGGGGCCAGCAACAUCCAACCCCUGGAAGAGAGCGAGGACUUGCGUGCUGUUGGGUUAACCCUGAUCUCUUUUGUCUGAGACAGGCACUCUAACCACAAAAACAACUCUUGCCAUUGGCACCGCUUCCAUCACCAUAGCAACUGGCUUCUAGAAAGGCUGAGGCACUGGUUUGAGAUUCACAGCCAAAUGAACAUUUCCACAGCUCUGGCUGCUCCUCACGAGUCUCUACCCUUCCUCUGGGAUCUUCAGGAGCCCAGGCCUGGUGCAGCUGGAUGGUUUUCACAGCUGGACUCUCUGCCCGAUGACCCACGCUUCAGAUGCCACCUCACCACCCCAGCUGAAACAGCAGAAGACGGAAUGAGAAAGAGGCUGAGAGACACCAAUCACAAUAAGUGCCAAGUGUCUUCCUCUCGCCCUUCACACAAAAGCAUCACAGGCAAUCCUCUGUGGUGGGCAUCAUUAUUCCGUUUCGUCCCCAUGAUUGGAUCACAAGACUGAAGCUCAGGGAAAGUAAGCUGCCCCAGAAUUUGCCACAUCAAACUUUUGCUGAUUUAAAAAAUAACCAUGUAACUCCUAAUGUACAUAUACUAGGCGAUAUACUAAAACUUUGAAGAAUUGGC